rnacentral:rRNA from 1 species
GACGAACGCUGGCGGCGUGCUUAACACAUGCAAGUCGAACGCUGAAGCUUGGUGCUUGCACUGGGUGGAUGAGUGGCGAACGGGUGAGUAUCACGUGAGUAACCUGCCCCUGACUUCGGGAUAAGCCUGGGAAACUGGGUCUAAUACCGGAUAUGACCAUCUUUCGCAUGUUGGGUGGUGGAAAGUUUUUCGGUUGGGGAUGGGCUCGCGGCCUAUCAGUUUGUUGGUGGGGUAAUGGCCUACCAAGACGACGACGGGUAGCCGGCCUGAGAGGGCGACCGGCCACACUGGGACUGAGACACGGCCCAGACUCCUACGGGAGGCAGCAGUGGGGAAUAUUGCACAAUGGGGGGAACCCUGAUGCAGCGACGCCGCGUGGGGGAUGACGGCCUUCGGGUUGUAAACCUCUUUCAGUAGGGAAGAAGCCUUUGGGUGACGGUACCUGCAGAAGAAGUACCGGCUAACUACGUGCCAGCAGCCGCGGUAAUACGUAGGGUACAAGCGUUGUCCGGAAUUAUUGGGCGUAAAGAGCUCGUAGGUGGUUUGUCGCGUCUGCUGUGGAGUCGUGCCGCUUAACGGUGCGCGUGCAGUGGGGUACGGGCAGACUGGAGUGCAUUAGGGGAGUCUGGAAUUUCCUGGUGUAGCGGUGAAAUGCGCAUAUAUCACGAGGAACACCGGUGGCGAAGGCGGGACUCUGGGCUGUUACUGACGCUGAGGAGCGAAAGCAUCGGGAGCGAACAGG